GAGUUUGAUCCUGGCUCAGAGCGAACGCUGGCGGCAGGCUUAACACAUGCAAGUCGAGCGGGCGUAGCAAUACGUCAGCGGCAGACGGGUGAGUAACGCGUGGGAACGUACCUUUUGGUUCGGAACAACCCAGGGAAACUUGGGCUAAUACCGGAUAAGCCCUUACGGGGAAAGAUUUAUCGCCGAAAGAUCGGGCCCGCGUCUGAUUAGCUAGUUGGUGAGGUAAUGGCUCACCAAGGCGACGAUCAGUAGCUGGUCUGAGAGGAUGAUCAGCCACAUUGGGACUGAGACACGGCCCAAACUCCUACGGGAGGCAGCAGUGGGAAUAUGGACAAUGGGCGCAAGCCUGAUCCAGCCAUGCCGCGUGAGUGAUGAA
rnacentral:rRNA from 1 species